rnacentral:tRNA from 1 species
AGAGCACCUGCCUUACAAGCAGGGGGUCGGCGGUUCGAAUCCGUCAGCGCCCACGA